rnacentral:rRNA from 1 species
UACGUAGGGUGCAAGCGUUAAUCGGAAUUACUGGGCGUAAAGAGCUCGUAGGCGGUUUGUCACGUCUGCUGUGAAAACCCGAGGCUCAACCUCGGGCUUGCAGUGGGUACGGGCAGACUAGAGUGCGGUAGGGGAGAUUGGAAUUCCUGGUGUAGCGGUGGAAUGCGCAGAUAUCAGGAGGAACACCGAUGGCGAAGGCAGAUCUCUGGGCCGUAACUGACGCUGAGGAGCGAAAGCAUGGGGAGCAAACAGG